GUGAGGAAUAUUGGACAAUGGGCGAAAGCCUGACCCAGCAACGCCGCAUGAAGGAAGAAGGUCUUCGGAUCGUAAACUUCUAUCCUUGGUGAAGAUAAUGACGGUAGCCGAGAAGGAAGCCCCGGCUAACUACGUGCCAGCAGCCGCGGUAAUACGUAGGGGGCAAGCGUUGUCCGGAAUGAUUGGGCGUAAAGGGCGCGUAGGCGGCCUGGUAAGUCUGGAGUGAAAGUCCUGCUUUUAAGGUGGGAAUUGCUUUGGAUACUGUCGGGCUUGAGUGCAGGAGAGGUAAGUGGAAUUCCCGGUGUAGCGGUGAAAUGCGUAGAGAUCGGGAGGAACACCAGUGGCGAAGGCGACUUACUGGACUGUAACUGACGCUGAGGCGCGAAAGUGUGGGGAGCAAACAGGAUUAGAAACCCGGUAGUCC
rnacentral:rRNA from 1 species